rnacentral:tmRNA from 1 species
GGGGCCGACCUGGUUUCGACGUGGGUGCGGAUUCGGAACAGGGCAUGCCGAGCACCAGUUCGCUCGUAAAUCCACUGGAACAAAGUAACUGCGAACGACGAACGUUUCGCCCUCGCCGCUUAACACCGGUGAGCCUCUCAACGGUUGGCCGAUAGGCCGGGCCCGCAAGGGCUGAGAGGUCAUUCAUAUCGGCUGGUCCGGUGGUGGGUCACUCACCGCAGGAUGAGAUCCAGUGACUGGCGAUGGGGGUAGCGUGCUGCUGCGCGAUCCCUGCCGUGAGACUCAAAUCAGCCAGCUAAGCAUGUAGAACUGUCCGUUGAUGGCUUGCGGACGGGGGUUCGAUUCCCCCCGGCUCCACCA